rnacentral:rRNA from 1 species
AUUGAACGCUGGCGGCAGGCCUAACACAUGCAAGUCGAGCGGAUGAAGGGAGCUUGCUCCUGGAUUCAGCGGCGGACGGGUGAGUAAUGCCUAUGAAUCUGCCUGGUAGUGGGGGAUAACGUCCUGAAACGGGCGCUAAUACCGCAUACGUCCUGAGGGAGAAAGUGGGGGAUCUUCGGACCUCACGCUAUCAGAUGAGCCUAGGUCGGAUUAGCUAGUUGGUGGGGUAAAGGCCUACCAAGGCGACGAUCCGUAACUGGUCUGAGAGGAUGAUCAGUCACACUGGAAGUGAGACAGGGUCCAGACUCCUACGGGAGGCAGCAGUGGGGAAUAUUGGACAAUGGGGGAAAGCAUGAUACAGCCAUGCCGCGUGUGUGAAGAAGGUCUUCGGAUUGUAAAGCACUUUAAGUUGGGAGGAAGGGCAGUAAGUUAAUACCUUGCUGUUUUGACGUUACCAACAGAAUAAGCACCGGCUAACUUCGUG